UAGAGGAAGUAAAAGUCGUAACAAGGUCUCCGUUGGUGAACCAGCGGAGGGAUCAUUAAAGAGUUAUCAUAACUCCUAAAACCCAUGUGAACCUUACCUUUGUUGCCUCGGCAGGUCUGCAGCUUACCCUGUAAGCACCUACCCUGUAGGUACUUUACCCGGUAGUUGUAGGAAAGAAACCUGCCGGUGGUAUAUUAAAAAAACCUCUUUGUUUGUUAUGUUAUUCUGAAUUCUAUAAUUAAUAAAGUUAAAACUUUCAACAACGGAUCUCUUGGUUCUGGCAUCGAUGAAGAACGCAGCGAAAUGCGAUAAGUAAUGUGAAUUGCAGAAUUCAGUGAAUCAUCGAAUCUUUGAACGCACAUUGCGCCCAUUAGUAUUCUAGUGGGCAUGCCUGUUCGAGCGUCAUUUCAACCCUUAAGCCCUCGUUGCUUAGCGUUGGGAGCUUACAAAACAACCCUUUGUAGUUCCUUAAAGUUAGUGGCGGAGUUGGUUUCACACUCUAGACGUAGUAAGAUUUAUUAUCUCGCCUAUAGAUGAGCCGGUCUCCUGCCGUAAAAACCCCCUUACUUCUUAAAGGUUGACCUCGGAUCAGGUAGGAAUACCCGCUGAACUUAAGCAUAUCAAUAGCCGGGAGGAAA
rnacentral:rRNA from 1 species